rnacentral:rRNA from 1 species
UACAGAGGUCCCAAGCGUUGUUCGGAUUCACUGGGCGUAAAGGGUGCGUAGGUGGUCGGGUAAGUCUGAUGUGAAAUCUUCGAGCUCAACUCGAAAAUGGCAUUGGAUACUAUUCGGCUGGAGGGUUGGAAGGGGGACUGGAAUUCUCGGUGUAGCAGUGAAAUGCGUAGAUAUCAGGAGGAACACCGGUGGCGAAGGCGGGUCUCUGGGCCGAUACUGACGCUGAGGAGCGAAAGCGUGGGGAGCAAACAGG